rnacentral:rRNA from 1 species
CAGUCGCCGCGGGAAUACGGAGGGUGCAAGCGUUAAUCGGAAUUACUGGGCGUAAAGCGCACGCAGGCGGUUUGUUAAGUCAGAUGUGAAAUCCCCGAGCUUAACUUGGGAACUGCAUUUGAAACUGGCAAGCUAGAGUCUUGUAGAGGGGGGUAGAAUUCCAGGUGUAGCGGUGAAAUGCGUAGAGAUCUGGAGGAAUACCGGUGGCGAAGGCGGCCCCCUGGACAAAGACUGACGCUCAGGUGCGAAAGCGUGGGGAGCAAACAGGACUAGAUACCCCUGUAGUCCCUGUCUCUUAUAC